GAAGCCUCAUUCUCACCAGCUCCUUCACAUAAACAACAACAACAACAACAAUAACAACAUCAAAACCCUAACAAAUGUCAUACAUAGCAAAACCUAGAAAACCUAAUCCAGACUCGAAACAGAUUGAUUCAAUCACAAAUCCACAACAUGAUUCCAGAAACAUCCCUAAACCACCAAACGAAAACAAUCAAAUCGAGUAAAAGAGUAAAAAUACCAUCAGCAAUCUCAUCGUCGUCG